AUUACCAUAAAAAUGUUUUGUUUUUAAGAUAUUAUGAUCACUUGAUUAAAAUAUUUAUUUAUCAUCAGCCAUGAACAUGGUAGAAUAUGAAAACUACAGUGUGUGAAGUACAAACAGAAGACCGGCAGGCAAAAGAAGCAGCCAAGGGCUGUUCCUGUCAUGCCUUACUGCAUUGUCUCUGCUUGCUUGUUCUCUUAAAUCCCGUCUGCAGCAUAGCAACAAAUACCAAUUCCACUCGAUUGGCAGUGAUACCAAAAGGACCACAUCACCUAUCGACAGGUUCCAAAAUCUGUGUUUAGUGCUCUUAUCAGUUUGUGCCAUUACGGCGGUCAGGGUCCAAAUUCUGUCUAUCCAUGGUUGAAGCAAUUGAUCUUAACCUAUCGGUAAAGCCCUUCAGCCUGGAAACUAAUGCUCGCUUGAUGAGGUUUCAUGCAUACUAUCCCAGCUCACAGACUAAUGCUGUAAAGAAAACCGAGUACAGAAUGAGAUACUGAUAAAUUCAUGGUCAUUUUGGCAUUCUUACAAACACAAGGCAACCGUAAAAAGAAAGUGCAUGAAACAAGCAACACGACUCCUUCCAAAAAAGCUGAAACGGAAAGCAGAUGAUAAUUCAUGGUCACACAGAGUUUAUUAUGUAUUAGUGCUUAGAAAUGAAGAAUACGUAGAAUUACUCGGCUACUUGGGAACAAAUAGUUACCUUCGACGAUGGGGCGACUCAGUAGAUAAAAUCCCAUGUAAAAGGCCCAUGAUUUGAUGUCAUCACGCAGCCUCAUCAAGUGUUUCUUCCUAGAAUCCUUUGCUCAGAACCGCUGUCUGCUGGGAUUGUGAGCACAUCGACAAACAGACAAGGUUGGACACGCAGUCAUGCGGUCCCAAGCACGGCUACCUGCUGUUUGCUUCCGUCGUCACGCGCCCGUGCGCGUCCAUGACUCGCUCACUGGCUUCGUUCACGCGCGUGAGGUGAGCGAAGCCAAUGCCCGGUAAAUACGUCAACAGCUACAGCAUCGAAAGCUCCUCUGCGUUCCACUUAGAACGUCAAGCCGUGAGACAUGAAACAGAACCUAUGAAGGGAGGGCUUUAAUCGAUGCCCUUCUCGAAGUUCUCAUUCCCUUCCCUCUUUUCUCGGUAUCAGUGCAGCUGUGGUCAUCUCUCCGUGCCAGGAAGGAUCGAUGGUUGGAUUGAAGGAAGUAGAAU
rnacentral:lncRNA from 1 species